rnacentral:rRNA from 1 species
AUCGCAAGACCUCGCGCGAAUUGGAGCGGCCGAUAUCAGAUUAGGUAGUUGGUGAGGUAAAGGCUCACCAAGCCGACGAUCUGUAGCUGGUCUGAGAGGACGACCAGCCACACUGGGACUGAGACACGGCCCAGACUCCUACGGGAGGCAGCAGUGGGGAAUUUUGGACAAUGGGCGCAAGCCUGAUCCAGCAAUGCCGCGUGCAGGAUGAAGGCCUUCGGGUUGUAAACUGCUUUGUACGGAACGAAACGGUGAGCUCUAAUACAGUUUGCUAAUGACGGUACCGUAAGAAUAAGCACCGGCUAACUACGUG